UUCCUACGGGAGGCAGCAGUGGGGAAUAUUGCACAAUGGGCGCAAGCCUGAUGCAGCAACGCCGCGUGAGGGACGACGGCCUUNCGGGUUGUAAACCUCUUUUAGCAGGGAAGAAGCGAAAGUGACGGUACCUGCAGAAAAAGCGCCGGCUAACUACGUGCCAGCAGCCGCGGUAAUACGUAGGGCGCAAGCGUUAUCCGGAAUUAUUGGGCGUAAAGAGCUCGUAGGCGGUUUGUCGCGUCUGCUGUGAAAUCCCGAGGCUCAACCUCGGGUCUGCAGUGGGUACGGGCAGACUAGAGUGCGGUAGGGGAGAUUGGAAUUCCUGGUGUAGCGGUGGAAUGCGCAGAUAUCAGGAGGAACACCGAUGGCGAAGGCAGAUCUCUGGGCCGUAACUGACGCUGAGGAGCGAAAGGGUGGGGAGCAAACAGGCUUAGAUACCCUGGUAGUCCACCCCGUAAACGUUGGGAACUAGUUGUGGGGUCCAUUCCACGGAUUCCGUGACGCAGCUAACGCAUUAAGUUCCCCGCCUGGGGAGUACGGCCGCAAGGCUAAAACUCAAAGGAAUUGACGGGGACCCGCACAAGCGGCGGAGCAUGCGGAUUAAUUCGAUGCAACGCGAAGAACCUUACCAAGGCUUGACAUAUACGAGAACGGGCCAGAAAUGGUCAACUCUUUGGACACUCGUAAACAGGUGGUGCAUGGUUGUCGUCAGCUCGUGUCGUGAGAUGUUGGGUUAAGUCCCGCAACGAGCGCAACCCUCGUUCUAUGUUGCCAGCACGUAAUGGUGGGAACUCAUGGGAUACUGCCGGGGUCAACUCGGAGGAAGGUGGGGAUGACGUCAAAUCAUCAUGCCCCUUAUGUCUUGGGCUUCACGCAUGCUACAAUGGCCGGUACAAAGGGCUGCAAUACCGUAAGGUGGAGCGAAUCCCAAAAAGCCGGUCCCAGUUCGGAUUGAGGUCUGCAACUCGACCUCAUGAAGUCGGAGUCGCUAGUAAUCGCAGAUCAGCAACGCUGCGGUGAAUACGUUCCCGGGUCUUGUACACACCGCCCGUCAAGUCAUGAAAGUCGGUAACACCUGAAGCCGGUGGCCCAACCC
rnacentral:rRNA from 1 species